rnacentral:rRNA from 1 species
GACGAACGCUGGCGGCGUGCCUAAUACAUGCAAGUAGAACGCUGAAGAGAGGAGCUUGCUCUUCUUGGAUGAGUUGCGAACGGGUGAGUAACGCGUAGGUAACCUGCCUUGUAGCGGGGGAUAACUAUUGGAAACGAUAGCUAAUACCGCAUAACAAUGGAUGACACAUGUCAUUUAUUUGAAAGGGGCAAUUGCUCCACUACAAGAUGGACCUGCGUUGUAUUAGCUAGUAGGUGAGGUAACGGCUCACCUAGGCGACGAUACAUAGCCGACCUGAGAGGGUGAUCGGCCACACUGGGACUGAGACACGGCCCAGACUCCUACGGGAGGCAGCAGUAGGGAAUCUUCGGCAAUGGGGGCAACCCUGACCGAGCAACGCCGCGUGAGUGAAGAAGGUUUUCGGAUCGUAAAGCUCUGUUGUAAGUCAAGAACGAGUGUGAGAGUGGAAAGUUCACACUGUGACGGUAGCUUACCAGAAAGGGACGGCUAACUACGUGCCAGCAGCCGCGGUAAUACGUAGGUCCCGAGCGUUGUCCGGAUUUAUUGGGCGUAAAGCGAGCGCAGGCGGUUUGAUAAGUCUGAAGUUAAAGGCUGUGGCUCAACCAUAGUUCGCUUUGGAAACUGUCAAACUUGAGUGCAGAAGGGGAGAGUGGAAUUCCAUGUGUAGCGGUGAAAUGCGUAGAUAUAUGGAGGAACACCGGUGGCGAAAGCGGCUCUCUGGUCUGUAACUGACGCUGAGGCUCGAAAGCGUGGGGAGCGAACAGGAUUAGAUACCCUGGUAGUCCACGCCGUAAACGAUGAGUGCUAGGUGUUGGAUCCUUUCCGGGAUUCAGUGCCGCAGCUAACGCAUUAAGCACUCCGCCUGGGGAGUACGACCGCAAGGUUGAAACUCAAAGGAAUUGACGGGGGCCCGCACAAGCGGUGGAGCAUGUGGUUUAAUUCGAAGCAACGCGAAGAACCUUACCAGGUCUUGACAUCCCGAUGCUAUUUCUAGAGAUAGAAAGUUACUUCGGUACAUCGGUGACAGGUGGUGCAUGGUUGUCGUCAGCUCGUGUCGUGAGAUGUUGGGUUAAGUCCCGCAACGAGCGCAACCCCUAUUGUUAGUUGCCAUCAUUCAGUUGGGCACUCUAGCGAGACUGCCGGUAAUAAACCGGAGGAAGGUGGGGAUGACGUCAAAUCAUCAUGCCCCUUAUGACCUGGGCUACACACGUGCUACAAUGGUUGGUACAACGAGUUGCGAGUCGGUGACGGCAAGCUAAUCUCUUAAAAGCCAAUCUCAGUUUGGAUUGUAGGCUGCAACUCGCCUACACGAGGUCGGAAUCGCUAGUAAUCGCGGAUCAGCACGCCGCGGGGGAAUACGUUCCCGGGCCU